GGUUAAGUUAACAAGGGCGCAUGGUGAAUGCCUUGGCACUAGGAGCCGAUGAAGGACGGGACUAACACCGAUAUGCUUCGGGGAGCUGUACGUAAGCUAUGAUCCGGAGAUUUCCGAAUGGGGCAACCCAGCAGUUUUAAUCAACUGUUACCACUAGAUGAAUUCAUAGUCUAGUUGGAGGUAAACGCUGUGAACUGAAACAUCUCAUUAGCAGCAGGAAUAUAAAGAAAUUUCGAUUCCCUAAGUAGCGGCGAGCGAACGGGGAACAGCCCAAACCAAAGUGCUUGCACUUUGGGGUUGUAGGACUGAACAUUUGAGUUACCAAAGAACUUGAUAGUCGAAGGAUUUGGGAAAAUCCGCCAUAGAUGGUGAUAGCCCAGUAGAUUAAAUCAAAUUCUCUCAGUUCAGGAUCCUGAGUACGGCGGAACACGUGAAAUUCCGUCGGAAUCCGGGAGGACCAUCUCCCAAGGCUAAAUACUACCUAGUGACCGAUAGUGAACCAGUACCGUGAGGGAAAGGUGAAAAGCACCCCGGGAGGGGAGUGAAAUAGUUCCUGAAACCAUGUGCCUACAAUAAGUCAGAGCGCGUUAAUGCGUGAUGGCGUGCCUUUUGUAGAAUGAACCGGCGAGUUAUGAUCCCGUGCAAGGUUAAGACUAAAAAGUCGGAGCCGUAGCGAAAGCGAGUCUGAAAUGGGCGUUUUGAGUACGAGGUUAUAGACCCGAAACCAGGUGACCUAUCCAUGUCCAGGUUGAAGGUGCGGUAAAACGCACUGGAGGACCGAACCCGUGUAAGUUGAAAAUUGCUGGGAUGAGGUGUGGAUAGCGGUGAAAUUCCAAACGAACUUGGAGAUAGCUGGUUCUCUCCGAAAUAGCUUUAGGGCUAGCCUCGGAAUUAGGAUCAUGGAGGUAGAGCACUAUUUGGACUAGGGGCCCGUCUUGGGUUACUGAAUUCAGAUAAACUCCGAAUGCCAUUGAUUCAUAUCCGGGAGUCAGAGACGAUGAGUGAUAAGAUCCACCGUCGAAAGGGGAACAGCCCAGACCAUCAGUUAAGGUCCCUAAAUGUAUGCUAAGUGGAAAAGGAUGUGGAGUUGCAUAGACAACUAGGAUGUUGGCUCAGAAGCAGCCACCAUUUAAAGAGUGCGUAAUAGCUCACUAGUCGAGUGAUCCUGCGCCGAAAAUGUACCGGGGCUAAGCAUACUACCGAAACCAUGGAUGCGACCAUUAGGUCGCGUGAUAGGAGAGCGUUCUAAGGGCGGUGAAGCAAGAUCGUGAGGACUUGUGGAGCGCUUAGAAGUGAGAAUGCCGGUAUGAGUAGCGAAAGAUAGGUGAGAAUCCUAUCCACCGAAUGACUAAGGUUUCCUGGGGAAGGCUCGUCCUCCCAGGGUUAGUCGGGACCUAAGUCGAGGCCGAGAGGCGUAGACGAUGGAUAACAGGUUGAGAUUCCUGUACUAGUUAAGUGCGUUUGAGCAAUGGAGGGACGCAGGAGGCUAAGAUGUGCAUUCUGUUGGAUUAGAAUGUCCAAGCAGUAAGUCUUGUGAAGAGUCAAAUGCUUUUCACUUUAAGGACAAGCUGUGAUGGGGAGCGAAAUUUAGUAGCGAAGCGUCUGAUGUCACACUGCCGAGAAAAGCUUCUAGUGAGUACUUAACUACCCGUACCGCAAACCGACACAGGUAGUCGAGGAGAGAAUCCUAAGGUGAGCGAGUGAACUCUCGUUAAGGAACUCGGCAAAAUGACCCCGUAACUUCGGGAGAAGGGGUGCUGAUCGCAAGAUCAGCCGCAGUGAAUAGGCCCAGGCGACUGUUUAUCAAAAACACAGGUCUCUGCAAAAUCGUAAGAUGACGUAUAGGGGCUGACGCCUGCCCGGUGCUGGAAGGUUAAAAGGAUGGGUUAGCUUCGGCGAAGCUCAGAAUUGAAGCCCCAGUAAACGGCGGCCGUAACUAUAACGGUCCUAAGGUAGCGAAAUUCCUUGUCGGGUAAGUUCCGACCCGCACGAAAGGCGUAACGAUCUGGGCACUGUCUCAACGAGAGACUCGGUGAAAUUAUAUUGUCCGUGAAGAUGCGGACUACCCGCGACAGGACGGAAAGACCCCAUGGAGCUUUACUGUAGCUUGAUAUUGAGUGUUUGUACAGCUUGUACAGGAUAGGUAGGAGCCAUAGAAACCGGAACGCUAGUUUCGGUGGAGGCGUUGGUGGGAUACUACCCUCGCUGUAUGACCACUCUAACCCGCACCACUAAUCGUGGUGGGAGACAGUGUCAGGUGGGCAGUUUGACUGGGGCGGUCGCCUCCUAAAAAGUAACGGAGGCGCCCAAAGGUUCCCUCAGAAUGGUUGGAAAUCAUUCGCAGAGUGUAAAGGCACAAGGGAGCUUGACUGCGAGACAGACAGGUCGAGCAGGGACGAAAGUCGGGCUUAGUGAUCCGGUGGUACCGUAUGGAAGGGCCAUCGCUCAACGGAUAAAAGCUACCCUGGGGAUAACAGGCUUAUCUCCCCCAAGAGUCCACAUCGACGGGGAGGUUUGGCACCUCGAUGUCGGCUCAUCGCAUCCUGGGGCUGUAGUCGGUCCCAAGGGUUGGGCUGUUCGCCCAUUAAAGCGGUACGCGAGCUGGGUUCAGAACGUCGUGAGACAGUUCGGUCCCUAUCCGUCGCGGGCGUAGGAAAUUUGAGAGGACCUGUCCUUAGUACGAGAGGACCGGGAUGGACAUACCUCUGGUGUACCAGUUGUGCCGCCAGGCGCAUCGCUGGGUAGCUACGUAUGGAUGUGAUAAACGCUGAAAGCAUCUAAGUGUGAAACACACCUCGAGAUGAGAUUUCCCAUUCCUUUAUGGAAGUAAGACCCCUGAAAGAUGAUCAGGUAGAUAGGUUAGAAGUGGCAGUGCGGUGACGCAUGAAGCGGACUAAUACUAAUCGGUCGAGGACUUAACCAA
rnacentral:rRNA from 1 species